UCGAACGGGUCCAACUAGUGGCUACUCUAGGGAAGACUUAGUGGCGAACGGGUGAGUAACUCGUGAGGAACCUGCCCCGAACUUCGGAAUAACUCUUCGAAAGGAGAGCUAAUACCGGAUACCUUCUUACUGUCGCAUGGCAGAAAGAAGAAAGUUUUUCGGUUCGGGAGGGUCUCGCGGGCUAUCAGCUUGUUGGUGGGGUAAUGGCCUACCAAGGCGUCGACGGGUAGCUGGUCUGAGAGGAUGAUCAGCCACACUGGGACUGAGACACGGGCCAGACUCCUACGGGAGGCAGCAGUGGGGAAUCUUGCGCAAUGGGCGAAAGCCUGACGCAGGAACGCCGCGUGCGGGAUGAAGGCCCUCGGGUUAUAACCCGCUUUCAGUAGGAACGAAUCUGACGGUACCUACAGAAGAAGGUCCGGCCAACUACGUGCCAGCAGCCGCGGUAACACGUAGGGGCCAAGCGUUGUCCGGAUUUAUUGGGCGUAAAGAGCUCGUAGGCGGUUCAGCAAGUCGGGUGUGAAAACUCUGGGCUCAACCCAGAGACGCCACCCGAUACUGCUGUGACUAGAGUCCGGUAGGGGAGUGGGGAAUUCCUGGUGUAGCGGUGAAAUGCACAGAUAUCAGGAGGAACACCGGUGGCGAAGCGCCACUCUGGCCGCACUGACGCUGAGAGCGAAAGCGUGGUACAACAG
rnacentral:rRNA from 1 species